rnacentral:tRNA from 1 species
AUUUAUAUAGUAUAAGAAUUAUAUUUAACUUCCAAUUAAAAGAUCUAAUUUUAGUAUAAAUA